rfam:Aspergillus carbonarius ITEM 5010 unplaced genomic scaffold ASPCAscaffold_17, whole genome shotgun sequence.
GGGUCGGUAGCUCAGGGGUAGAGCGUGGGACUGCAGAUCUUAAGGUCACGCGUUCAAAUCGCGUUCGACCCU